GCAUAUCAAUAAGCGGAGGAAAAGAAACCAACAGGGAUUGCCUUAGUAACGGCGAGUGAAGCGGCAACAGCUCAAAUUUGAAAUCUGGCCUCUUUGGGGUCCGAGUUGUAAUUUGCAGAGGGCGCUUUGGUGUCGGCAGCGGUCCAAGUUCCUUGGAACAGGACGUCACAGAGGGUGAGAAUCCCGUACGUGGUCGCUAGCCUUCACCGUGUAAAGCCCCUUCGACGAGUCGAGUUGUUUGGGAAUGCAGCUCUAAAUGGGAGGUAAAUUUCUUCUAAAGCUAAAUACUGGCCAGAGACCGAUAGCGCACAAGUAGAGUGAUCGAAAGAUGAAAAGCACUUUGGAAAGAGAGUCAAACAGCACGUGAAAUUGUUGAAAGGGAAGCGCUUGCAGCCAGACUUGCCUGUAGUUGCUCAUCCGGACUUUUGUCCGGUGCACUCUUCUAUGGGCAGGCCAGCAUCAGUUUGGGCGGUUGGAUAAAGGUCUCUGUCAUGUACCUCUCUUCGGGGAGGACUUAUAGGGGAGGCGACAUGCAACCAGCCCAGACUGAGGUCCGCGCAUUUAUGCUAGGAUGCUGGCGUAAUGGCUGUAAGCGGCCCGUCUUGAAACACGGACCAAGGAGUCUAACAUCUAUGCGAGUGUUUGGGUGUCAAGCCCGAGCGCGCAAUGAAAGUGAACGGAGGUGGGAACCCCUCGGGGCGCACCAUCGACCGAUCCUGAUGUCUUCGGAUGGAUUUGAGUAAGAGCAUAGCUGUUGGGACCCGAAAGAUGGUGAACUAUGCUUGAAUAGGGUGAAGCCAGAGGAAACUCUGGUGGAGGCUCGCAGCGGUUCUGACGUGCAAAUCGAUCGUCAAAUUUGGGCAUAGGGGCGAAAGACUAAUCGAACUAUCUAGUAGCUGGUUCCUGCCGA
rnacentral:rRNA from 1 species